rnacentral:tRNA from 1 species
GCGCGAGUGGCGAAAUUGGCAUACGCGCAAGGUUUAGGUCCUUGUGUCUUCGGACGUGGGGGUUCGAGUCCCCCCUCGCGCA